rnacentral:rRNA from 1 species
GUUAGACGAAGAAUCUAGAUGGAGUAGUUUAUUAAUUUUAAUUAACAGUUAAUAAGAAAAGUGAAUUUAUUUCUUUUUUUGGGUGAAAUUUAUAUAAAGAGAAAAAUUAUCUUAUUUUAUUUUAAGGAAUUAAAAAAUUAAGGUGAAAAACCAGGAUUAGAGACCCUGUUAUUCUUUACGAUAAUUAGUAGGGUAGUAAAAGUUAUUCUUCAAACCCAAAGAUUUUGGCGGCAUCCUAACCAAAUAGAGGAGCUUGUCCUAUAAUCGAUAGUCCUCGUUUUAUCUUGCCUUUAUUUGUUUAGCUUGUAUACCUCCGUUGUCAGAUUACUUUUAAAGGAUGUUUUCAAUAAAAAUAUUUUUUUAACUUCAGGUCAAGGUGCAGUUUAUAUAAAGGUAGUGGUGAGCUACAAUUUUUUAUAAAAAAACGAAUAUUUAGUUUGAAUACUAAUUGAAGGUGGAUUUAUUAGUAAGAGUUAGUUUAAGUAAAGUUAGCUGAACAAGGUAAUAGGAUGUGUACAUAUCGCCCGUCACUCUCCUUUUAAGAGGAGAUAAGUCGUAACAAA